UAUAUUUAGAAUGAGGAGGGAACCUGAGAAAGCACACCAUCAAACCCCAUCUUUUUUUUGAGGAUAUAGAAGAUCAGGGAGGAGAAGUUGUUUCCUGACCACUGUUGAAAGAGAGAAUUGAAUGUUUAAUACACAAAGGCAAUACUAAAUAUAUACUUGUGUCCAUUUCGGAGUUGGGGAACAUCAAAACCAAAUCUACUGGGCUGAGAAUUAGAGUGGAGCAAAGGGGAGGUGCAAUUCAGGGAACAGUGGAAUGAACAGUCAACACUUGAACGUGCACUGACCCAGCUAUUCCGAUGGUGUUUGGAGUGGUGAUAAGGAGGCAUUUGAGUCCCCACCCUGUGCAUGAGGAACUUGACCCUGGAGGUUAUGCGAUUUUUUUCAAAAGUCACCCAGCAAGUCAAGAGAUGGACAAUUAGAAAGGUCAGAAAACAGUCAAAGUCAAAUGUCAGAGAUUUAAAUCAAGGCUAAAUAACUAUAGUUUGGGUCUUUAACCAUUGGUAAGCCACAUUCUAGUCUACUUCUAUAACUUUACAGAGAAAUGUAAAUUGUGCUAUAACUCACCCAAGGAACUUUGUGGCUUCAAAUAAUGCCUGUGUGUAGAGAUUUUCUGAAACUCAAGAAAUGUAUGCCUUGAGAAGGGGGAGGAAGAAAAGCACCACUUCAUAGGGAAAUGGAUAGAAAAAACUUGUCCUUAGAAUGAAUGGGUGCAUUGCUGAAUUUCCUAAGUUAUCAGAGGCUUGGCAAACAGAAAGGAAAGUCUGCAAGGAGCCUUGGAGGGGAAAGAGGCAGAUCCCAGAAGUUUCAAAGAUGAUUCAUUCAAGUACAACCCAAAAGGGAUGUCAGAAAAUGCCCACAGGGAUUAGUUUGUGGUAACACUGAUUCCAAGACCACGAGGCUGACUCUGAGGGAGACAUUUUUGCAGCAAUUCAAGGCUAUGGAUGAGUGAGAGCAGUGAAAGCUUUAAGAGCAAGGUCAUAUAUGAUGUAUUCAGGAGGUAUAAAAAGCCAAGAACAGCACGUUUCAAUUGGUUAUAAUCCUACUCUAUGAUGCAGGAAGAGCAACUCUUUCCCAUAUUACUUGGAAAUAAAAUGGUUGCUGGAGACAAUAUAGGAGGUAAAGUUGUGAGAUUAUGUCUCAUGCAAAACAAACUAAAGAUGAGGACAGAGGACGUGAAAAUGAUGAACUACUCUGACGAUUCCCUACCACAUGGCUAGAUGUCUCUGCCAAAUAUCACCUUUUAGAAAACUGGAAAUUCAAGUCACUAGGUCUAGGCUGGAUGCAAUUUCUCUGACCUCAAACAUGGCCAGGGAGGGGGUAUCAUUUGUAUAUUGGAUGCAUCAUCAUGGAAGAGGCAAGUUAAGAAAAACUCUCAGUCAAAAGUCAGGAUGGUUAGGAAAGCUAAUCAAAGAGAGAGAGCAUCGGUCAGAGACAAUGGGAUCUUGGCUACAGCAAGAAGGCAAGAAAGCUAAGACCCUGCUCUGAACUUGAGUGUUGCUGCAAUGAUUAUGAUUGCAGAAAGGUUUUCUCCAGUCUAGGUGAGCCAUGUUUGGAUUCUCAUUUACAGAGGAGCUUUAGCUUCCUCAUCUACAAAAUAGAAUGAAGGAGAAGAUCUGGCCACAGAAUUGCUAUGGAAAUGGAGGACAAUAAUGUAAGUAUCACUGAGUAUACACUGUGGAUCUCUUUUCUUCACCACCUGAAAAUUAAUUUUUUGCUUCUGCAUUUUUUUUUUUUUUUUUUUUUGCUCUAGUGACCGAGACUUGGGAGAAGGUGACAAAGAGCAUCACCUUGGGGGGGCAGACCUGGGAGGCUAACUAUACUCUCUUUAGCUCCAAUGAGGAUUUCUUUGGCAGGAAUUAUCUGAAACAUCAUUGGUAAAGUGUAAGCAUCUAUUGAUCUGUACACAAUUUUUGCAAUAUGUGUGUAUUUUGAGCCAAGCAAAGGUAAUUUAUCAUAAAGAGAAAGAUCUGAAGUAAAAAUUGGAAACCUAUAGAAACGACUUUCUUUAAUGCAAGGGGUGGCUAAUUUGAUGAAUUCCAGAACUAUAAAUUUUCCACAGUGUGAACUCAACAGGGGAGGACAUAUGUGCAGAUGAAGACUUGCAGAGACAUUUCCUCCUAAUUGAAACGAUGCAUGAAUUAAGAAAUUUACAUCUUGGAUCAGAUUUUUAAUUGUAAUCAUUGUGUGCACUGUUAAAAGUAAAUAAUCAACUGUAUAAAAA